rnacentral:rRNA from 1 species
GAUGAACGCUGGCGGCGUGCCUAAUACAUGCAAGUCGAGCGAACGGACGAGAAUCUUGCUUUUCUUAUGUUAGCGGCGGACGGGUGAGUAACACGUGGAUAACCGACCUAUAAGACUGGGAUAACUUCGGGAAACCGGAGCUAAUACCGGAUAAUAUUUUGAACCGCAUGGUUCAAAAGUGAAAGACGGUCUUGCUGUCACUUAUAGAUGGAUCCGCGCUGCAUUAGCUAGUUGGUAAGGUAACGGCCUACCAAGGCAACGAUGCAUAGCCGACCUGAGAGGGUGAUCAGUCACACUGGAACUGAGACACGGUCCAGACUCCUACGGGAGGCAGCAGUGGGGAAUAUUGGGCAAUGGGCGAAAGCCUGACCGAGCAAUGCCGCGUGAGUGAUGAAGGUCUUCGGAUUGUAAAACUCUGUUAUUUGGGAAGAACAUAUGUGAAAGUAAAUGUUGACAUCUUGACGGUACCUAAAGAGAAAGCACCGGCUAACUACGUG